CGGGUACCAGCGUUCCUGAGCGCGGCCGAGGUGGAGGAACACCUCUGCAGCUCCAGCCUCCUCAUCCCGCCUCUAGAGACGGCCCUGGCCAACUUCUCCAGCGGUCCCGAAGGAGGGGUCAUGCAGCCCGUGCGCACCGUGGUGCCGGUGACCAAGCACAGGGGUGCUGCAGAGGAUGCCCUGACCACCAAGUUGGUCACCUUCUACGAGGACCGCGGCAUCACCUCGGUCGUCCCCUCCCACCAGGCUACUGUGCUACUCUUUGAGCCCAGCAAUGGCACCCUGCUGGCGGUCAUGGAUGGAAAUGUCAUAACUGCAAAGAGAACAGCUGCAGUUUCUGCCAUUGCCACCAAGUUUCUGAAACCCCCCAGCAGUGAAGUGCUGUGCAUCCUUGGGGCUGGGGUCCAGGCCUACAGCCAUUAUGAGAUCUUCACAGAGCAGUUCUCCUUUAAGGAGGUGAGGAUAUGGAACCGCACCAAAGCAAAUGCAGAGAAGUUUGCAGACACAGUGCAAGGAGAGGUACGGGUCUGUUCUUCGGUCCAGGAGGCUGUGGCAGGUGCAGAUGUGAUCAUCACAGUCACCCUGGCGACAGAGCCCAUUUUGUUUGGUGAAUGGGUGAAGCCAGGGGCUCACAUCAAUGCUGUCGGAGCCAGCAGACCUGACUGGAGAGAACUGGAUGAUGAGCUCAUGAAGGAAGCUGUGCUGUACGUGGAUUCCCAGGAGGCUGCCCUGAAGGAGUCUGGAGAUGUCCUGCUGUCAGGGGUGAGGCUCUUCUGACCCCAGUCAGGGCUGCCACCAGGUGGCCUCACCUGGAUCCCAGGGUUUCAUUAACUUCCCUUCCAGUUUGGUCUGCUCGAGACCUCAGCCACCCCACCUCCUUGUAGGGGAAGGAGCUCCUAAACAUUUUGCAACCGAGACCUCAGCCACCCCACCUUCUUGUAGGGGAAGGAGCUCCUAAACAUUUUGCAACCCUCUUUAAUUCCAUUCCAGAAAAAUAUGGGCAUUAUGGGUGGUGACAUAUGUGUUCCUGGAAGGAGAAGCUCAAUGGAUUUUAUUUUUUUGCUGGGCUGUCCUAUAAAGCAGUGAGAUUGGAAGCUUCUUGCAGCCUGGAAACCUUCCCAAUGUGUUGCCCACCUUCUGGCCUCAUUUUACGGUUAUAAUCAGCAUAAAACAAGAAGGGAGCUGCUGGCAUGCAUGUUCAGAUAAGAGCAUGUCUAUUUCCUCACCGACACAAUGAUCUCGGCAGGACAGCUCCCUGAGCACCAACUCGAAUCUCUGUGUUUAUGGUAUCACAAAAGCAAAUGCCACCCCAAAAGGAUUUUGGGGCCAGCCUCCUCCCUAAUAUCAUUCAGUGUACAAAGGAUCUCUCUUUUCUUUUUUUUUUUAAAUCAAAUUUAUCUCUUAUCCAGUUCAGGAAUUCCCUGGGCUGGCUUCAAAAGCCAACCCUGAACAGACUUUAGCUUCAUGCCUGGGUCAGCGUAUGUUUGUUUCCUAGGCCGAGAUCUUUGCUGAGCUGGGAGAAGUGAUUAAGGGAGUGAAGCC
rnacentral:sRNA from 1 species